AUUUUCUAGCAUUUUUUUAGACUUAGAAAUAAUCUGCAAGUUAUUUAAUCAAGCAUGUGUGUGUGUGCGUGAAUGUGUGUGCGCAUAAUUGCAUAAAUAUCCCUUAAAUAACUCUGCCUUUUCAUUGGCUGGAUACUGGAAGACUAAAUUUGGAUAUCAGUGGUUCUUUAUUGGUUGUUAUUAUUCGCGCCAAGAUAGGUCAUCAUUGUACAGCCAAUAUCUAAACAGAAUAUGCAAUAGGAUUGAUUUGCUGCUCGUUGAAUAACAUUCAAGUAACAGUUGGUACUUGUAAAUUCUCCAUAUUGGCCUUCUUCUCUUACUUUCUUUUUUCGUUUUUUUUUUAAUUAUCGAUUUUCCGAAGAUUACCGAUCGGAUCCGAAAAUGGACGAGACGUCGGUGCAUUAAUCUGGUAUUUUAUUCGCGCGAACAGUUCGUGACGCCCGCCCAGUUUAGUUACUAAUGAUCAUUUUAUGCAUACAGAAAUAUGCAGUUGUAUCGUUCGUAUCAACCGUCAUACACACAUAAACAUAUAUAAGUUUUAAGUAUUCCUUUUGAUUUUAAAUUAAUCAGUAAUCGUGUCGAUAGUAUUUGGUAAGAAAUGUCAGAACUUCGUAAAAGAACUGUAGAAGAUACGUCGUCCGCAGCUACGCGGGAUGUCAACGAUGAUCAGCUAGUAACAGGGAUACGUCAACAUUCUUUGCCCCCGCUAAAAGAAGAAAUUGAAUCGGAGGAUGAUGCCAAGUUGGAAGUGGAAGAUUUAUCAAAAACUUUGCCGCAAGGAACGCAUCAUACUCCCCAACUUUUAAACCCUGUUCUUUCUGGUCUUUCAGAUCGUUGGAAAAAUUGGAUCAUCAGAAGUAUUUCAACGUCAGUUAUGAUAGCUGUAUUUGGUUUUAUAAUAUAUGGCGGGCCAUUAGUACUUAUGAUCACGACAUUAAUAGUUCAAGUUAAAUGUUUCGAAGAGAUCAUUAAUAUUGGAUAUGCGGUAUAUAGAAUUCAUGGUUUACCAUGGUUCAGAUCGCUAUCCUGGUAUUUUCUGAUAACUUCUAAUUAUUUCUUCUACGGGGAAAAUUUAAUGGAUUACUUUGGAGUAGUGAUCAAUCAAACGGAAUAUUUACGCGUACUAGUGACAUAUCAUCGAUUUAUUUCAUUUUGCCUCUACAUCAUCGGUUUUGUAUGGUUUGUACUGUCGCUCGUAAAGAAAUAUUAUAUGAAACAAUUUUCUUUGUUCGCAUGGACACACGUCGCACUAUUAAUAGUAGUGACACAAAGUUAUCUCAUAAUACAAAAUAUUUUCCAAGGAUUAAUAUGGUUUAUCGUACCAGUGAGUAUGAUAGUUAUAAACGAUGUCAUGGCUUACAUGUUUGGAUUCUUUUUUGGAAGAACGCCUUUGAUCAAAUUGUCUCCAAAGAAAACGUGGGAAGGUUUCAUAGGUGGUGGUGUUUCAACAGUUAUCCUUGGAUUAUUGAUGUCCUAUGUUAUGUGCCAAUAUCGCUAUUUCGUUUGUCCUAUUGAAUAUAGCGAAGCUUUAGGUAGGAUGACAAUGGAUUGUGAACCAUCCAGUUCAUUCCAACCGCAAGAAUAUGUAUUACCAAAGAGUUUACAAGUAAUUACAAGAAUGAUCAAUGGAAAGGAGACCUUGACUUUAUAUCCCUUUUUACUUCAUUCUUUGUCAAUGUCUAUAUUUAGUUCAGUCAUUGGACCAUUUGGAGGCUUUUUUGCCAGUGGUUUCAAACGAGCUUUCAAAAUUAAGGACUUUGGAGAUGUCAUUCCUGGCCAUGGUGGAAUAAUGGAUAGAUUUGACUGCCAAUAUUUAAUGGCAACGUUCGUCAAUGUGUAUAUUUCGUCAUUUAUACAGACAGCUUCACCUCAAAAACUUUUACAACAGGUUUUUAGUUUAAAACCCGAACAACAGUUACAACUGUUUCAAUCUUUAAAAGAUUCUUUAGAAAACAGAGGUCUCAUAAAUAUGUGUUGAUUUAAAAGAGAAUACACAUUUCUUAAUAAUAAUAAUAAUAAUAAUUACAAGAAUUUCUGUAGCAUCACAUACAAUGAAUGUAUGAGAGAAAUAAUUACUCUGUCAUUUAACAGUACAAAUAAUGUUCAACAAGGGAACAUGUUUUUCCAUCCAAUCGUAUAAUUAAAUACUACAGGUAUCUAUAUUUAUCAGAUCUCAAUAUAUUAGUUGCUAAUAAUUACGCAUUUAUGAAUCAAUUUUUGCAAGUAUGUCUUAUUAGACUUAAAGAGUAAUUUUUUAUUUUUUAAAUAAUUGACAUUC
rnacentral:misc_RNA from 1 species